AACUUAAGCAUAUCAAUAAGCGGAGGAAAAGAAACUAACAAGGAUUCCCCUAGUAACUGCGAGUGAAGCGGGAAAAGCUCAAAUUUAAAAUCUGGCAGUCUUUGGCUGUCCGAGUUGUAAUCUGGAGAAGCGUCUUCCGCGCUGGACCGUGUACAAGUCUCCUGGAACGGAGCGUCAUAGAGGGUGAGAAUCCCGUCUUUGACACGGACUACCAGUGCUCUGUGAUGCGCUCUCAAAGAGUCGAGUUGUUUGGGAAUGCAGCUCAAAAUGGGUGGUAAACUCCAUCUAAAGCUAAAUAUUGGCGAGAGACCGAUAGCGAACAAGUACCGUGAGGGAAAGAUGAAAAGCACUUUGGAAAGAGAGUUAAACAGUACGUGAAAUUGCUGAAAGGGAAACGCUUGAAGUCAGUCGCGUUUGCUAGGACUCAGCCUGGUUUCGGCCUGGUGCACUUCCUAGUAAACGGGCCAGCAUCACUUUUGGCUGCGGGAAAAAGGUUAGAGGAAUGUGGCACCCUCGGGUGUGUUAUAGCCUCUAGCUGUAUACCGUGGCUGGGAGUGAGGAACUCAGCACGCCUUCUGGCGGGGCUUCGGCCACCUUCGUGCUUAGGAUGCUGGCGUAAUGGCUUUAAACGACCCGUCUUG
rnacentral:rRNA from 1 species